ACUCCUACGGGAGGCAGCAGUAGGGAAUCUUCCACAAUGGGCGCAAGCCUGAUGGAGCAACACCGCGUGAGUGAAGUAAGGGUUUCGGUUCGUAAAGCUCUGUUUGUUAAAGAAGAACACGUAUGAGAGUAACUGUUCAUACGUUGACGGUAUUAACCAGAAAGUCACGGCUAACUACGUGCCAGCAGCCGCGGUAAUACGUAGGUGGCAAGCGUUAUCCGGAUUUAUUGGGCGUAAAGAGAGUGCAGGUCGGUUUCUAAGUCUGAUGUGAAAGCCUUCGGCUUAACCGGAGAAGUGCAUCGGAAACUGGAUAACUUGAGUGCAGAAGAGGUAGUGGAACUCCAUGUGUAGCGGUGGAAUGCGUAGAUAUAUGGAAGAACACCGAGUGGCGAAGGCGGCUACCUGGUCUGCAACUGACGCUGAGACUCGAAAGCAUGGGUAGCGAACAGGAUUAGAUACCCCGUGGUAGGAUAGCG
rnacentral:rRNA from 1 species